AUGAACGCUGGCGGCGUGCCUAAUACAUGCAAGUCGAGCGAACAGACGAGGAGCUUGCUCCUCUGACGUUAGCGGCGGACGGGUGAGUAACACGUGGAUAACCUACCUAUAAGUCUGGGAUAACUUCGGGAAACCGGAGCUAAUACCGGAUAAUAUAUUGAACCGCAUGGUUCCAUAGUGAAAGACGGUUUUGCUGUCACUUAUAGAUGGAUCCGCGCCGCAUUAGCUAGUUGGUAAGGUAACGGCUUACCAAGGCAACGAUGCGUAGCCGACCUGAGAGGGUGAUCGGCCACACUGGAACUGAGACACGGUCCAGACUCCUACGGGAGGCAGCAGUAGGGAAUCUUCCGCAAUGGGCGAAAGCCUGACGGAGCAACGCCGCGUGAGUGAUGAAGGUCUUCGGAUCGUAAAACUCUGUUAUUAGGGAAGAACAAAUGUGUAAGUAACUAUGCACGUCUUGACGGUACCUAAUCAGAAAGCCACGGCUAACUACGUG
rnacentral:rRNA from 1 species